GACGAACGCUGGCGGCGUGCUUAACACAUGCAAGACGAACGAUGAAGCCGCUUCGGUAGUGGAUUAGUGGCGAACGGGUGAGUAACACGUGGGCAAUCUGCCCUGCACUCUGGGACAGGCCCUGGAAACGGGGUCUAAUACCGGAUACGACCAUCGGCCGCAUGGCCUGGUGGUGGAAAGCUCUGGUGGUGCAGGAUGAGCCCGCGGCCUAUCAGCUUGGUGGUGGGGUGAUGGCCUACCAAGGCGACGACGGGUAGCCGGCCUGAGAGGGCGACCGGCCACACUGGGACUGAGACACGGCCCAGACUCCUACGGGAGGCAGCAGUGGGGAAUAUUGCACAAUGGGCGCAAGCCUGAUGCAGCGACGCCGCGUGAGGGAUGACGGCCUUCGGGUUGUAAACCUCUUUCAGCAGGGAAGAAGCUUUCGGGUGACGGUACCUGCAGAAGAAGCACCGGCUAACUACGUGCCAGCAGCCGCCGUAA
rnacentral:rRNA from 1 species